GAAUGUUAUUUAAUGGUGCCAAUGAUGUUGGAGGAUACCUGUGGAACCUGGAUUAGAAGCAUGUGCUGCUCUCAGACCUGGCCUACAGAGAAGAACUGACACAGACUUCCUUAGAUGUGUUGUCUUCCUGUCACUGGUGCAUUCCUUAUCAAUGUGGGUGGCUCCGCACUCAGCCCUGUGAUCACCUGAGUAAUGGGAAGUCAGUGAGUGCAGUGCCUGCAGAGGGAGCAUGCUUGCCAAUCACCAUCACCCACUUUUGCACUUGUGCCAGAGGAUGUGCCCAAGCCAACCUGAGAAAGAUGAAAGACACAUGGCUCAGACACUCCAUUACCCCAUCCCAGGGCCAUUAACCUGCCAGGCAUAAUCCAAAAUUCUUAUCAAGUUAUCUUCAAUCUAUGCAAGGAAAAUAUUUAUCCCAAAGGAGGAUUUUCAGAAGAUGACACAUGAGGGGCAUUCAUCACAGUCAAGUCUUUUGUUUUGAAAUACGGAAUCUGCAUACCUACUGCUUUCCAAGUUUUGUAAAAAAAAAAGAAGAAAAAAGCAAAAUGCUCUGAGAAUUAUCUAAUUCAUUUUUGCAUAAAGAAUUUCCAUUUUCUAUUUUUCCGUUGUCUAAUUCACUUGCAUAAAGAAUUUUCUUUUUCAUGUUUCAAUUCACAUCUAACAAAUGUUAUCAUACUUUUUCAAAUACUCUUUAUUUCAUUCACUGUAAUUCCAAUUGGCUUAGUUAAUAAUCUUACAUGUGUAAACCAUCCUCAGCCUUUAAAUAAGGUUCUUGUUCUGGGAUUAAAGAAAAAUUUUAAUCAAUCAAUUAAUUACUAAUUGCAUUUUGCAUUUAGCACCUACUGCCUCUGAAUUUUUUAACUGAAAAUAUACCUACUCUUAUAUUUUUAUUUUAGCGUUUAUUUUUCAAGUCUGCUAGUGACAAUCCAAAUUAUAUUUUUUAAUCCAGAUAUUUUUAAUUUAGAAAUUAGGAGAGGAAUUUUGGUAAGCCACACUAUCCUCUGAGGAGCAACUGAAUAUAUUAGAAUUCUAAAUGGUACCACACGAUGGGAAAAAAAUGGCAAAAAUAAUCCCAAAGUCUAUAUUAUGUUGAAAACUUCAAAUGAAAUUCUAAGUCUUCACUAACUGAAUGGACUCAUUUUUGGCCCAGCGGAUGCCAGAAAACCCUUAAGAUUGAAUUCCUGGACAUGACAGGAUGGGCGGUGAGGUAUGGCUCAUUAUACUCCCUCACUUUUGGGGUUUAGACACAACUGACCAGCAUAGAUGUUAAAAUACAGAUUAUAAGAAUGGCAGAACAGACUCUCUGACAAUACGAUAUCAAAUUAUAAACAGAACCUAAACCCAUGGCAGGCGAGGUUUAAGUCACUUACCUACCCUUGAAGAAUAAGCUUGUUCUCACUGCCAUAGCUUUUUUUUUUUUUUUUGUCUUUCUCUAGCAGCUAAAUAAGCACUGGCCUGGAGAUAAGCACUAGUGAAAGAAUUUGCAGCUCAUCCACUGCUGGACCCUGAUUAAGUGACCCCCUGUUCCACAAGCCAUGACUCCAGCUUUGACUGGACAAGAGACUGAUUUCAGUAGCUUUUUUUCAUAUAAGAAGACCAUUGACUGUGGAAUGAUUCCAGAGGCUGCACACUGUCAGGACUUCAUGUCCUGAAAAGACCUUUUGACAUGUACGGCCUGAUUGCAAUGCAUUUGAAUGUUGUCUCCACCCUAAAGUGAACAUGGAUCAUAUGUUACAUGCACGUUUGUUCAAUGCCCAUGUGGCAAGACCCCUUGAUGAAUAUUCGUAACUCCUCCUGUAACCUGUUGAAUAUGUAUGUCCUACCCCAACCCCUCCUCCUUCAUGGUGCCUGUCUUUGGUCUUGACUAGAGGCCAACCUGCAGGUUGGCCACCUGGCAGGCUGUAACCCUAAGAAAUAAAAACUUCUUUUCUCCUUUUCAAAAUGUAUAAAUUGUGAUUUCUAUUAAGUCAACAAUGUCCAGGAAUAAUGUUAUUCUUGAGACAGUUUUAUGAUCUGAGCUUUGUUCAAAAACUGGAAAAGUUACAAAGUAAAACCAUAAUUUUCUUUAGUGGGUUAACUGUGUGCCAAUUUAAAUUUAAUUUUUUCAGCUGUGUUGAGGAAAAAUUUAUGCCUCCGAAGCUGCACAUGUAGAAAUUUCACAAUUUGAAGAAUUUUCACAUAUGUAUGCUGGGUGAAACCACACCAUAAUCAAGAUACCCAACAUUUCUACCUUCCCCAAAAGUUUCUUCACACCGUUGUGCAUUCAUCUCUUCAUUCAACCCUUUCUCUGCAAUCAAUGGUUUACUUCUCGUCAGUAUGGAUUAAUUUGCAAUUUCAAGAAUGUUGUAUAAAUGAAAUUAUAGAGCAGUACGUUUUUGUCUGAUUUUAUUCACUCACAGAAUUAUUUCAAGAUCCAUCCAUAUUGUUGCAUGAUUCAGAAGGCUGCUCUUUUUAUAUUGCUGAGUAGUUUUCAAUGGAAUAUACUACAUUUUGUAUAUCCAUAAGCCUAUCAUGUGCAUUUUGGAAUGUUUCCAUUUUUUUGGUAAUUGCAAAUAAAACUGCAAUGAACACUCA
rnacentral:lncRNA from 1 species